UUUUUUUUUUUUUUUAAUUUUACUGAGACAUAAUUGACAUAUAACAUUAUAUGGGCUUCAGGUAUGCAACGUCAUGAUUCAGUAUUUGUACAUAGUGUGAAAUCAUCACCACAAGUCUAAUGAACAUCUGUCCCCACACAUGGUUACAAUUUUUUUUCCUCGUGAAGAGAGCCUUUAGGAUCUACUCAGUACUUUUCAAAUACACAGUACGGUGCUCUUAACUACAAUCACCACCUAUAUGCCGUACGGUACACCCCCAGGGCUUGUAACUGGGCAUUUGUGCCUUGAGACCCAAUUCACCCCUACACAGUAAAUGUACUGUCACAAGAAAGCAAUUGCUUGCUUUGGAGAAUCUAAGAAGGCGUCUGCCUGGCCGUGUUGAGCAGAGCUGCCUAACACCUGUGGUUUACACAGAGGCUCGUGGGAGUCCCAGCUGGCGUCCAUCGAGCCUAAGCCUCAAGCAUGGGGCGAGCAGGGAGGUCGCUCAGAGCCUGGAUCACACAGGGCACUUGGCUCCUGCCCAGCCAAGCCACCCUCCGCUGGAACCAUUUCUCUUCUCCAGGACUGAAUCCCAAUGACUUGGUUUAUCCAGGAAUCAUGCUCAUCAUUUAUAGUUGGGUCUUUUUUGGAAGGGCAAAAAGAACAGAGAUUUGGAGACUGCAAAUGCAGGCUCGAGCCCUGGCUUUCCCUCUCUGCUGGCUCUGUUGAUCCACCUUUCUGAGCCUGAGCCUUGUCCCGCGGGCACUGCUGGCCCUUCCCUGGGCAGAGCUGACCUGUCGUAGGAUCCUGGUCCGGGUCCCACCACCACCUCCCAUGCAAGAUUAGGGCUGCAAAGUUGCAGCCUGGUUUUGUCUGCAGUGCUGGUCUGUCUGGGAUCCGCUGUUAGUAACUGUCUCCUGGUCCUAGAGGGCAGCAGUGACACACCUAUUCUAAAUGGCCAACAGUCCGGGAAGAGUGGCUGCAGAGAAACAGAAGGCAGCCAAGCCCAUUCAGCUGAUUGCUGAGCCGUGGGUCAUGGAAUUACCAGGAAUGACAAGAUGGCCUACAGAGACUGAGGGACCAAGCCCAGAUGAAGAGGAAUGGAGAGGAGGAGGACUCGGUCCUAACCCAGUCAUGGAAGGCAUGGAGCCCUUGGCCCGGUCACGUGGCAGGGAAGUCUUGUGCAAGCCACCCUGGGUGUAACGUAUGCAUCUGCCGAGGAAGGACUUGUCCACGACCACUCCAACCUUGGUCCUGCCUUUGAGCCGAGAUCUCACAGUCCUGUUCAGCUAUAACAUGCCAUCCCUUUGCUCAGCGGUUCAGACUUGUCUGCUUUAUAACGUGCUCCUUGAAUACCUCUGACAUCUUUUUCCACGUGUCUUCCCACCAGCUGGAGAGCCUUCACUUCUCUGAUGCUGACCACAACAUCGUGAGGUCCAUUCUAUGAUUCUCUCCAUUUUCCAGCUAAGGAGCCGGAGACCUAAGUCACUUGUCUGCAUUCACACAGCUUUCCUGAGGGAUGCAGCCUGGGCUCUGUGACCCCAGCAUCUUCAACUGCAGUGGAAACUGAGGCUCGAGAGAAGGGUUCCAAGCUCCCUGUGGAUUUCAGGGCCAUCCGCUGUAGGAUUCUAAUUCAGUGCUGUGAUUGGAUGAGCUCGUCAAGGGAGAUAAAGUGCAGAGCAAAGAGCUGAGGACCAAGAAUGGAAAUGAAAGACUAAGAUGAGCAGCAAAGGGAAGAAGAGAAGACAAAGGUGGAGGCAAGCUGGAGCAGCAGAGAAGGGGGGAAGGUGGAGUAAAGCGUCUUAGAAGAAGGUGGAAACAUGUUCUAGUAGAGGGUGAUGCUCCUAUCAGGUGCUGUACAGAAAUGUCAAAAAGGAAACGUAUCUUAAGGCCAGGGGAUUGUUUAAUAUUUGUUGACUGGUUUGGUCAGCAUUUGCCUAAGUCUCCCAAGCACCUGCAGGUGGAAGGUUGUCGAGGAAGCAAAUGGGCAACACCAGCAGCCUUCCUAGAAUUGUACCAGGUCCAGCACAGAAAGGUCAAGGGAAAUUUGCACUGUAGUUCCAUGCAUCAAAGAUGCAUACCUGGCACAUGCCAAGUAUCAAGGUUGCUUGAAACCCACAGGGUACACUCCUACAAAGCUAUGAAACCUCAGAAUCACUCUGAGUUAACAAACUGACACUUAGUCACUUAGUUUAACACAUAAUCAGAGAUGGUCUUGACUCUCAUGUACUGGGCCCCCACUACCAUGUGCCAAAGAUCCAGAUCUUGUUUCAAGCUCUCCUCUCAGGUUCUGGCACCAGAUAACACGGAAUAUGGCCAUUUCCAGAAUUAGCUGGCACCCUUGUUCAUCUAGGAUUAUUGAUUGUAAUAUUUUACGUGCAAUGACAGAAUUUACAAACCAAGAUCAUUUUCUUCAACUUUGCCAGUUGCUGAUGAAUCUUUCAGCGUUUCUGAAACCCAGGGACUUUAAGAUGAUCUCGGCUAACACUGGCCUCUUUGGAAGAGGAGACGUUUCUUUCCUUUUCCUUGGUUAAAUAAUAAAUGAACUGGCAUCCAAGUUGCUAAAA